AAAGGGUGCGCAGGCGGCGCGAAAAGUCAGCGGUCAAAGUUCCGGGCUCAACCCGGUGACGCCGUUGAAACUUUCGGGCUGGAGUUCGUGCGAGGGAGGCGGAAUGCGUUGUGUAGCGGUGAAAUGCAUAGAUAUGACGCAGAACCCCGAUUGCGAAGGCAGCUUUCCAGCACGCGACUGACGCUGAGGCACGAAAGCGUGGGGAGCGAACAGGAUUAGAUACCCUGGUAGUCCACGCGGUAAACGAUGAAUACUAGCCCUGCGGCGCGAAUGGGUGCUGCGGGGCAGAGUGAAAACGUUAAGUAUUCCACCUGGGGAGUACGCCGGCAACGGUGAAACUCAAAGGAAUUGACGGGGGCCCGCACAAGCGGAGGAACAUGUGGUUUAAUUCGAUGAUACGCGAGGAACCUUACCCGGGCUCAAACGGCGGGAGACGCGUCCGGAAACGGGCGUUCCCUUCGGGGCUGCCGCCGAGGUGCUGCAUGGUUGUCGUCAGCUCGUGCCGUGAGGUGUCGGCUUAAGUGCCAUAACGAGCGCAACCCCCAUCUUCAGUUGCCAGCGGGCAAGGCCGGGCACUCUGGAGAGACUGCCAGCGCAAGCUGUGAGGAAGGCGGGGAUGACGUCAAAUCAGCACGGCCCUUACGUCCGGGGCGACACACGUGUUACAAUGGCAGGGUCACAGAGGGAAGCCAGGCGGCGACGCCGAGCCGAUCCCGAAAACCUGUCUCAGUUCGGAUCGGAGUCUGCAACCCGACUCCGUGAAGCUGGAUUCGCUAGUAAUCGCG
rnacentral:rRNA from 1 species